GAAGCGUCUGGAAAGGCGCGCGAUACAGGGUGACAGCCCCGUACACAAAAGCGCAUGUGCUGUGAGCUCGAUGAGUAGGGCGGGACACGUGGUAUCCUGUCUGAAUAUGGGGGGACCAUCCUCCAAGGCUAAAUACUCCUGACUGACCGAUAGUGAACCAGUACCGUGAGGGAAAGGCGAAAAGAACCCCGGCGAGGGGAGUGAAAAAGAACCUGAAACCGUGUACGUACAAGCAGUGGGAGCCCCACCACCAAAGCAUUCUCUGGUGUUGAAGGCCCUGCAAAGCAGCAUCGCGGUGGCGGAGCGUCGUUUGCGACGCCCAACACACAAAACAAGCGGUGAGUGCUUUGGGGUGGGGUGACUGCGUACCUUUUGUAUAAUGGGUCAGCGACUUAUAUUCUGUAGCAAGGUUAACCGAAUAGGGGAGCCGGAGGGAAACCGAGUCUUAAUUGGGCGUUAAGUUGCAGGGUAUAGACCCGAAACCCGGUGAUCUAGCCAUGGGCAGGUUGAAGGUUGGGUAACACUAACUGGAGGACCGAACCGACUAAUGUUGAAAAAUUAGCGGAUGACCUGUGGCUGGGGGUGAAAGGCCAAUCAAACCGGGAGAUAGCUGGUUCUCCCCGAAAGCUAUUUAGGUAGCGCCUCGUGAAUUCAUCUCCGGGGGUAGAGCACUGUUUCGGCUAGGGGGCCAUCCCGGCUUACCAACCCGAUGCAAACUGCGAAUACCGGAGAAUGUUAUCACGGGAGACACACGGCGGGUGCUAACGUCCGUCGUGAAGAGGGAAACAACCCAGACCGCCAGCUAAGGUCCCAAAGUCAUGGUUAAGUGGGAAACGAUGUGGGAAGGCCCAGACAGCCAGGAUGUUGGCUUAGAAGCAGCCAUCAUUUAAAGAAAGCGUAAUAGCUCACUGGUCGAGUCGGCCUGCGCGGAAGAUGUAACGGGGCUAAACCAUGCACCGAAGCUGCGGCAGCGACGCUGAUGCGUUGUUGGGUAGGGGAGCGUUCUGUAAGCCUGCGAAGGUGGCCUGUGAGGGUUGCUGGAGGUAUCAGAAGUGCGAAUGCUGACAUAAGUAACGAUAAAGCGGGUGAAAAGCCCGCUCGCCGGAAGACCAAGGGUUCCUGUCCAACGUUAAUCGGGGCAGGGUGAGUCGACCCCUAAGGCGAGGCCGAAAGGCGUAGUCGAUGGGAAACGGGUUAAUAUUCCCGUACUUGGUGUUACUGCGAAGGGGGGACGGAGAAGGCUAUGUUGGCCGGGCGACGGUUGUCCCGGUUUAAGCGUGUAGGUGUGUGUUCCAGGUAAAUCCGGUUCACUUUAACACUGAGGCGUGAUGACGAGGCACUACGGUGCUGAAGCAACAAAUGCCCUGCUUCCAGGAAAAGCCUCUAAGCAUCAGGUAACAUCAAAUCGUACCCCAAACCGACACAGGUGGUCAGGUAGAGAAUACCAAGGCGCUUGAGAGAACUCGGGUGAAGGAACUAGGCAAAAUGGUGCCGUAACUUCGGGAGAAGGCACGCUGACACGUAGGUGAAGUGAUUUACUCAUGGAGCUGAAGUCAGUCGAAGAUACCAGCUGGCUGCAACUGUUUAUUAAAAACACAGCACUGUGCAAACACGAAAGUGGACGUAUACGGUGUGACGCCUGCCCGGUGCCGGAAGGUUAAUUGAUGGGGUCAGCGCAAGCGAAGCUCCUGAUCGAAGCCCCGGUAAACGGCGGCCGUAACUAUAACGGUCCUAAGGUAGCGAAAUUCCUUGUCGGGUAAGUUCCGACCUGCACGAAUGGCGUAAUGAUGGCCAGGCUGUCUCCACCCGAGACUCAGUGAAAUUGAACUCGCUGUGAAGAUGCAGUGUACCCGCGGCAAGACGGAAAGACCCCGUGAACCUUUACUAUAGCUUGACACUGAACAUUGAGCCUUGAUGUGUAGGAUAGGUGGGAGGCUUUGAAGUGUGGACGCCAGUCUGCAUGGAGCCGACCUUGAAAUACCACCCUUUAAUGUUU
rnacentral:rRNA from 1 species